UUUUAUUAUUAUGACUAAGGGUUGGGUCAGUGGAGAUUGGGCCCCCACUAAAAACUGUUAUGGCUUGAUUGUGAUUGUGCAACAGCAGGUCACCAAGAAAGUGUGAUUAAAAGAAGAAACUGAUUAGGCAUCCUGGCUUUGAUCAUACAAUACAAGUGACUCUCAGUUGUUGUACAUGUGAUGAAUUUAGGUAAUUGUAACUCAAAUUUCAUCAAAUUUCAUGAUUGCUGAUAUUUAUGAAUUAAAUUCAGAUUGAUCUGCCGACAA